AGAACGAACGCUGGCGGCAUGCCUAACACAUGCAAGUCGAACGAGACCUUCGGGUCUAGUGGCGCACGGGUGCGUAACGCGUGGGAAUCUGCCCUUGGGUUCGGAAUAACAGUUGGAAACGACUGCUAAUACCGGAUGAUGACGUAAGUCCAAAGAUUUAUCGCCCAGGGAUGAGCCCGCGUAGGAUUAGCUAGUUGGUGAGGUAAAGGCUCACCAAGGCGACGAUCCUUAGCUGGUCUGAGAGGAUGAUCAGCCACACUGGGACUGAGACACGGCCCAGACUCCUACGGGAGGCAGCAGUGGGGAAUAUUGGACAAUGGGCGAAAGCCUAGAUCCAGCAAUGCCGCGUGAGUGAUGAAGGCCUUAGGUUGUAAAAGUUCUUUAGACCGGGACGAAUAAUGACGGUACCCGGAGAAGAACGCCCGGCUAACUCGUGCCAGCAAGCCGAC
rnacentral:rRNA from 1 species